AAAAUGCCUCUUGUACAACAUGCACUUGGAUUCCAUCAUCUGUUUUGAUCAAGUCUAGUCGUCGUAGCCACCAGUAAAAUGAUGUGGAUGAAUGUAGUUUUACUUUUAUCAGUAAUAGCUGAAUACUCAGAAGCAAAGCCUGACAUUGAGAUUAGCUACAGGUUUUCUGAUGAAUGGUGCAAGAUAGACUGUAGUGCAACAGAUAUGCCAGCCAAUUCUGAGCUACUUUUAUCGAAGAAUUCGCCAGAAGACAACUCUCUUUAUU